UCCCUGGGGGCUCAGAAGGUAAAGAAUCUGCCUGCAAAGCAGGAAACCCGAGUUCGAUCCCUGGUUGGGGAA
rnacentral:tRNA from 1 species